UGGGGAAUUUUGGACAAUGGGGGCAACCCUGAUCCAGCCAUGCCGCGUGAGUGAAGAAGGCCUUCGGGUUGUAAAGCUCUUUCAGCCGGGAAGAAAACGCAUGGGUUAAUACCUUGUGCGGAUGACGGUACCAUCAGAAGAAGCACCGGCUAACUACGUGCCAGCAGCCGCGGUAAUACGUAGGGUGCGAGCGUUAAUCGGAAUUACUGGGCGUAAAGCGUGCGCAGGCGGUUAUGUAAGACAGAUGUGAAAUCCCCGGGCUCAACCUGGGAACUGCGUUUGUGACUGCAUAACUAGAGUACGGCGGAGGGAGGUGGAAUUCCGCGUGUAGCAGUGAAAUGCGUAGAUAUGCGGAGGAACACCGAUGGCGAAGGCAGCCUCCUGGGCCAGUACUGACGCUCAUGCACGAAAGCGUGGGGAGCAAACA
rnacentral:rRNA from 1 species